GACAGAGCAAGAAAGACUUGUAAAUAUGAAGCUGAGUUAACAGAUUUAUUAGGAGAAAAACAUAAUAUUCAACCAUUUGCUGUAUCAGGAAGAAACGGUUUAGUACUUAGAGGACAACUGGAUUUCAAUAAGGAAAAUAAUGCUGCUUGUCAAUAAUUCAGUCGGUGUCAGUCGAAAAUAAUCAACAAAUACAAGUGACCAAGUUUCCUGGCGACACCGUUACCGCCUUCAUCAUCUCGCAGGUCCCAAGUCUCCAGAGUAA